GUGACCCGCUUCCAAACCUUAAUGGUUACAUAAAUGCCAUAAUAAAGCCAAUUUUCACACUGGCUAGAACACUUACACACUGUUGAUAAUUUCCUGUUCUUAUUUUUGUAUAAAGCAUAUGGAGAACUCAUUCACAUCAUAGAUUCAAGCUACCACUGACUUAGGUACUUUGGUGGUUUAAUGUAUUGAAAAAAAAAUCUAGUGGUAUAGGUCUGUAAUCCCAGCACUUAGAAGGCUGAGACAGGAGGAUUGUAAAUUUGAGUGUAAUCUGGGUUGCAUGAUGAGACCUUGUCUCAACUAACUAAUUAACUAGCUAACUAAAUACUAAUCUUUGAAUUUUUUUUGAAGUCAUUCAUUUUCCUCUGAUUUUUUUCUUCUUCUCCAUUUCCAGUACUCUUUACCAGGUCCUCUUCUGUAGGGAAUUCACUGUACUUGUAAGGACAAACAGAGCAAUAAGGUCACUUCUAAAUGUGGAUGGCAGGCAGUCAGCUAGGCUCGCUCACUAGCAAAAGUGACUCAUUGCCAUGUAUCAGCUUCAGAAGCUAUGAGAUAAAAAUAUGCGCUUCAUGGAAUUACACAUCAGAGGCCUUAGAGUCUGCCUAGAGGUUGCCAAGUCUUUGGAUGCUGACAGUCACACUCACAGUCACAUUUCAGUGCUAAUUGGGAUGGGCAUACAAAAUAAAUGCAAGGCAGGGCAACCAGCCUCAAGAACAAAUGUCAUCACGUCUAAUAUUGGCACUACCAAGUUUUCUGUUUAACUAACAAGAUCAAUCUCUGGCUAAUGGCCAACUUAUUUCACACAAUAUUUGAUGACUGAAAUAUCCCAGUGCACACACAUACCAGCUUCCCUUGGCAUCCCUCCCAGAGUGCCGUAUGACCUGUGCUGAAGUUGAGAUGAAAGCAAACUGACAGCCCCCCUGCCCCCCCCCCACCCGUGAGCAACCUUUCAACCUCCAGCAAAAGACUGACCUGGUAAAAAGCCCUGUGAGUCAGAAUGGGACCUUAUGUCCAAGUAUAGGGAAAUUUGUAAUCUGAGUCUGAUUCCCCAGGGCCCCCAAGAUGAGGCAGCCAACACCAAGACAAGCUGAUGGGGUAAACAAUCAACUCAUAUUCCCACCAGGGUAUUGCUCAUCCACAGCACUUCAGCAUUCACCUGAUGACAACAGCCUGGGGCAGACUCUCAUCCCCAAGAAGUCAUAUAUCUUUUCUUUCCUUUUCUACUUGUCAGGUUUCAGGAAAUGGCUCUCUUCCUAUACUGUCCCCAGAUAGGACAAUUAGAUAAACCAAUCCCUGUACUGGAUCCAAAAAUGCUUAUAGUGCAUGCAGCCCACUCUCUUACUGUAUUCAUGACCUUGCCAUUGUUCAGAGAACCCUCAGCUUGCAUCAAGGUCACAUGUAACUCUCAGACUGCCAUCUCAAACCAGCCAUAACGCUAGGAACUGUCAAUGACUUGGCAGAGAGUCCACAGUGAAGUUGCUGAUCUUUGCUCCCCGGGAAUUUUGGUGACUGUAUUCUUAUGCCUUGUACCUGUAUGUGACCAUUAAAUUUGCCUCCUUGAUAACUAUAAAAUGGUUCUGUUUGGUCACAGAAAUUGUUCACCCAAAGUAUUUUUAGUGUCAAAUUAUGGUAUUGCUAACCUUGAUUAUUCACAGUCAGCUAGGAUAGUUUGUUUGCGCAUUGUUGUUUAUUUAAUGUUGCCCUACUGCUGUUAUGCCCAUACCUAGCAGAAUAAGUAUUAUACAUUUAUUAUGCCUGUGUGCAUUUGUGUUUGGUGAGACUGAAAGGAGGGAAAGAGAAUGUUUAUGAAUUCAGAGCCUAAUUUAUAGUGCAAUAAAUUGACUGUACCAAUAAUUGCUCUCCAUGAUUAUUAUGAUUUUCAGCUAAGCACAUAGACAUAAGCAUAUUAUGACUUCAGUCUGAUAUAAUCUCUAGGGUUGACAGUAAUUACCUAGUAAGGUGAGAUUCCCCACUUCUCUACCCCAUCAAAAAAAUCAUAUCCCAAUCCCUUAGCUUUGGAAACUUGAGGAUCCCAUAGCUGUAAACAUUCAUGUAGCAGGCCUCAAAAAAAAACAAACAAACAAAAAAAACAAAAAACAAAAAACCAACCUGAGCUAGCAGUACCAAUGUUCUGAGGCCCAGGGCUUUGUAGUGCUGGGAAAGAGCCCUAAAAGAGACUUGCCCAUCCGAAUGUGCUGGCAGCACUAAUGGCCACGAGGAGCACAAAGGCUCAGAACGAUAAUAUUUACUUUGAAGCUGCUCAAGAUUCCAGGCUCAACUGGGCUCUGUUGAACUUGGAAAACACACACAGGACAAGCAGGAUUGCAGCUUUCUUGCAGGAGGUGUGCAAAGGGCAGCUAGUAUUCUAUGAAGGUCAGGUGCUAACCUUUCCAUCCCCGUGCCUCUGGGAAACACAGUUGUUAGCAUAAGGCGGCCACAGGGUUUGGUCACUGGCUAGCAAGGCAUCAUGGGAGAAAACAGGUUUGUAGCAGCCAUUGAUUUCCAUGGUGUCAUUACUUCCAUCACAUAGGCUUGGGAAGAGGUGCAGGAAGCUGCCUGUGCUGGCUGAAACACACCACAGUCUGCCUCGCCUCUGCAAGAACAGGAAAGAGAAAGGACAAGGUCGCACAGCCAGGCAUGGCCUUGGUCUCUCUCCAUAGACUCUCAUGGCCAACUCUAGUGCCUGGAGAGUUUCCUUUCAGAGAGUUUCCUUCCGACCUCCCUGUUGAACUCAGCAGAAUUUUCUCUUGGCUUAUUCCAUCAUUUACAGUUGAGUGAGACUUCUCUCCAAAUGACCAGGGGCUGUGACUAGCUUGCUCUUUGCUGUAUCUUUAGCCCCUAUAUAACACCUAUAUCUGGUGAUUAUCAGCGGCUUUGUAAAUACCUGUUGAGUGACUAAAUAAAUGAAUAUGCCAUGCUUGUGAACCUCACUAAAAUGUAUUGGUUCAACGCAUGGACUACAGAGGUAGCCCACCCUGGUGAAAAUACUGGCUAUGCUACCUAUUAGUUUGUGAUCUUGGACUGUCAUCUCCUAUACAGUAUAUAGAGGAGGAAAAUCAGGUACAUGGAAGUGGAGGAACUUGCAAAUUCAUGAAGCUAAUGGCUGACUCGGUUAACCUAACUAUAAAUUAAGGACAAAUUGUAUUAUCUACCUCUGGGUACCACCGUGCCCAACCAGGAUAGAGCUCUUGCUUAACCUGAGUGACUUGAGUCCUUGGGCUCCAUUACC
rnacentral:lncRNA from 1 species